GUAAACUAGUAGUGUCUCUUUUGUAACUGCCUAUUGAUUCUAAAAUUCUUACUCUGCAGAAAACUGGAACCAAGAUCAAGGAGCUUACUUUGCUGGAAAGCAUCAAGAGCAACCCGUCAGAAGUUGUCCCGCUUGAAAAUUCGAACCCGAAAACCAAGAGCAUUGCUGAAGUUAGUCUCAUAUGGGAGAUGUCUCUCUUCAAAAUCUCCAAGAUAGUUUUGGGAAUCUCUCAGAGGAUCCAUCCCACUGCCAUUGUAAUUUCUAUUUGCCUGUAUUUAGGUUGGUUUUUUUUCAUCCUCAUGUUAUAGGGUCCAAUUUCAUAAGGCCAAUCUUUAUUUCCAUUUAGUCUAAUAAAAAGCAUGUAGUUAUAUAUCUAAUGAAGAAAAAUUAGGAAUGUAGUUGAUGUAGUUAUUCCAUUUUAGCGAUAAGAUGUUGUAUAUUUUUCCUUCCAGGCAUAAAUUUGAUGAGAAAUUUAAAUUUA